AGAGAAAUGGCUCAGCAGUAGGGUGCGCGCUUACAUGUAUGAGGUCCUGGGUUCAAGUCCCAGUGCCUCUA
rnacentral:tRNA from 1 species